UGGGGAAUAUUGGACAAUGGGCGAAAGCCUGAUCCAGCCAUGCCGCGUGUGUGAAGAAGGUCUUCGGAUUGUAAAGCACUUUAAGUUGGGAGGAAGGGCAUUAACCUAAUACGUUAGUGUUUUGACGUUACCGACAGAAUAAGCACCGGCUAACUCUGUGCCAGCAGCCGCGGUAAUACAGAGGGUGAAAGCGUUAAUCGGAAUUACUGGGCGUAAAGCGCGCGUAGGUGGUUUGUUAAGUUGGAUGUGAAAUCCCCGGGCUCAACCUGGGAACUGCAUUCAAAACUGACUGACUAGAGUAUGGUAGAGGGUGGUGGAAUUUCCUGUGUAGCGGUGAAAUGCGUAGAUAUAGGAAGGAACACCAGUGGCGAAGGCGACCACCUGGACUAAUACUGACACUGAGGUGCGAAAGCGUGGGGAGCAAACA
rnacentral:rRNA from 1 species